rnacentral:lncRNA from 1 species
GAAUUGCAGAAGUUCUGGUAAAACAAUGCAACUUAACCGACCGUUGAUAGUGCAAUGAUCUUAUCGUUCAAGUGGUGUAUUCUCGAUACACUCUUAAUAUAAUAUGUUUCAACCUAAGUGUUUCGUAUUUUUUGCUCUAGCAAACAGAAAUUUAAAGAUAUAUCAGAAGUAAGCCAGCAUUUGAUUUUACAUCUGUCUUACAGUACAGUACUAUUUAUAUUAUGGCGAUAAAACCUGCUGGUUCGUCUGCUAUCUUUAGGGCAGCGUUUAUGAUUUUAUCUUUGGCAUUUAUCUUGCUGGUUUUUGGAUUUGUAACGCCGAAUUGGACGGAAGAAAUAAUGGGAAACCUUUUGACAUCUACGACAGGAUUAUGGAAAACGUGUACGGAAGUUGCGGGUGCAGGAGAAAAUUGUGGAGACAGCAUAUUUGACGGAGAAGGCUGGUAUGUAGCUGUACAAACAUUUGAAGCCCUUGGUCUGGCCUGUCCUUUCUCUUGUGCUAAUCAUGUCUUCCGUGCUAUUGGUAGCUGUUUCUAACCACCGACUGGCCAGGGUCAAUAUCUACACCAGUAUGUUUGCAGGCAUAUUCAUUAUCAUCGGUACGGGGACGUACACAUACAAGUCCGAAUUUGAGCACAUUGGAUAUUCCUGUUGGGCGUCUUGGUUUUCUUCAGUAACUCUCGUGGUAGCUAUUAUUCUUCUCGAGUGUGCGCGUAAAAAGGCACACCAGAGAGCGAUGUCCCUCACACACUCGGACGUUAUUUCCGAUCAAACGCACGGUCACCAUAGUUACCCGAUGCAAGAUCUGUCACCUACAAGUAAACAUACGAAUUAGCCGUCGGAGGUACGUCACGCAGACAUCCUUACCCAAGGACAGUCCAGACGCCCAGAUUUGUCUGGAAAAGACUGCAUCUUAACUGCGAUGACAACAUAUUGCUUGUUAGAUAACAUUUGAUCCAUUUUCUCGGAUAAGCCACGGGAAACAGAUCUACACUAAAGUGUCUGUUGCUGUUGUAAUUGCAUAUUAGUAUAAAUAGCAUGUGGUACGUUUGAGAUAAAGUCUAAAUAUGUAGGUACGCUCAUAAUAGUUUCUUCUUUCAUUUUUUCAUGUCCAAGUGCAACAUAAAACCAAAGCAUCCAUUGUCCUUGCUUUGUAGAAGAUAUAUUCUUAAAUGCCCAGCACGUUUUAGUGUGCUUCGUGGAGUGCAUCCAACAUUUUUAACAAUGUGUAAUUUGAAAUUAUACGUAACAAUAUUGACUAACUCCAAAACUCUAGCUAUAUGUCAUGUUUCGAUAGAUUUCCUGCAAGACAAAGAUAAACAUUACUCAGCAAUUUUUUACUCUCGUAUGUUUUGAUUAAAUUAAAUUAUGAUUUCUCCGCGUCUAUGAUUAAUUUUUAAAGCUGAAAACAUAUACUGAUAAAAUAUUCUUAUCAAUACACUACAGUUCCUUGAAUAUUUUCCUCAGCUAUCUUACUAUUAAGCUAGAAUCAAAUUCAAAACUGAAUGACUUCAUUUAUCAAAAGUAAAACGCAUUAAAGCGACUGGCCUCCAGAUUGUUCGACAACCACAAAAAUAUUUUUUAGAUAUCUUGAAAUAAAUGCUAUAUUUCUUAAGAAGGUUUUAAAACUUACCUACUGACAAACUUUAUG